rnacentral:rRNA from 1 species
UACGUAGGGGGCAAGCGUUGUCCGGAAUUAUUGGGCGUAAAGAGCGUGUAGGCGGUCCGGUAAGUCGGCUGUGAAAGUCCAGGGCUCAACCCUGGGAUGCCGGUCGAUACUGCCGGACUAGAGUUCGGAAGAGGCGAGUGGAAUUCCCGGUGUAGCGGUGAAAUGCGCAGAUAUCGGGAGGAACACCUAUGGCGAAGGCAGCUCGCUGGGGACGUUUACUGACGCUGAGACGCGAAAAGCGUGGGGGAGCAAACAGG